AUUGAACGCUGGCGGCAGGCUUAACACAUGCAAGUCGAGCGAGCGGCGGACGGGUGAGUAAUGUCUGGGAAACUGCCUGAUGGAGGGGAAUAACUACUGGAAACGGUAGCUAAUACCACAUACCAUCAGAUGUGCCCCGCUGGGAUUAGCUAGUAGGUGGGGUAAUGGCUCCCCUAGGCGACGAUCCCUAGCUGGGCUGCGAGGAUGACCAGCCACACGGGAACCGAGACACGGUCCAGACUGCGACGGGAGGCAGCAGUGGGGAAUAUUGCACAAUGGGCGCAAGCCUGAUGAAGCCAUGCCGCGGGUGUGAAGAAGGCCUUCGGGUUGUAAAGCACUUUCAGCGAGGAGGCGUUACUCGCAGAAGAAGCACCGGCUAACUCCGUGCCAGCAGCCGCGGUAAUAC
rnacentral:rRNA from 1 species